rnacentral:tRNA from 1 species
UGGCACAGUGGUUAAGUGCUAUGGCUGCUAACCAAAAGGUUGGCAGUUCAAAUCUGCC